AAGAGACAGCAGUAGCCACGGUAAUACAGAGGGUGCGAGCGUUAAUCGGAUUUACUGGGCGUAAAGCGUGCGUAGGCGGCUUCUUAAGUCGGAUGUGAAAUCCCUGAGCUUAACUUAGGAAUUGCAUUCGAUACUGGGAAGCUAGAGUAUGGGAGAGGAUGGUAGAAUUCCAGGUGUAGCGGUGAAAUGCGUAGAGAUCUGGAGGAAUACCGAUGGCGAAGGCAGCCAUCUGGCCUAAUACUGACGCUGAGGUACGAAAGCAUGGGGAGCAAACAGGAUUAGAUACCCCGGUAGUCCCUGUCUCUUAUAC
rnacentral:rRNA from 1 species